ACUCCUGCGGGAGGCAGCAGUGGGGAAUAUUGGACACUGGGCGCAAGCCUGAUCCAGCCAUGCCGCGUGAGUGAUGAAGGCCCUAGGGUUGUAAAGCUCUUUCACCGGUGAAGAUAAUGACGGUAACCGGAGAAGAAGCCCCGGCUAACUUCGUGCCAGCAGCCGCGGUAAUACGAAGGGGGCUAGCGUUGUUCGGAUUUACUGGGCGUAAAGCGCACGUAGGCGGACUAUUAAGUCAGGGGUGAAAUCCCGGGGCUCAACCCCGGAACUGCCUUUGAUACUGGUAGUCUUGAGUUCGAGAGAGGUGAGUGGAAUUCCGAGUGUAGAGGUGAAAUUCGUAGAUAUUCGGAGGAACACCAGUGGCGAAGGCGGCUCACUGGCUCGAUACUGACGCUGAGGUGCGAAAGCGUGGGGAGCAAACAGGAUUAGAAACCCUUGUAGUCCCA
rnacentral:rRNA from 1 species